rfam:Asian citrus Psyllid, Diaphorina citri - Florida Strain, whole genome shotgun sequence.
GCUCCCAUGGCGUAGUGGUCACUGCACUCGCCUUGCACGCGGGAGACCCGGGUUCGAUUUCCGGCGGGGUCA